rnacentral:rRNA from 1 species
AACGAACGCUGGCGGCGCGUUUUAAGCAUGCAAGUCGGACGGUAGAGGGAGCUUGCUCCCUUGAGAGUGGCGAACGGGUGAGUAACACGUAGAUGAUCUGCCUUUUAAGUUGGGGAUAGCCCAUGGAAACAUGGGGUAAUACCGAAUACGUUCUUUUGUGUAAAGGCAAGAGAAGAAAGGGGCUAAGGCCUCGCUUAAAGAUGAGUCUGCGGUUCAUUAGCUAGUUGGUGGGUAAAGGCCUACCAAGGCUACGAUGAAUAGCCGGCCUGAGAGGGUGAACGGCCACACUGGAACUGAGACACGGUCCAGACUCCUACGGGUGGCAG